rnacentral:rRNA from 1 species
UGAGGAAUAUUGGUCAAUGGUCACUAGACUGAACCAGCCAAGUAGCGUGCGGGAUGAAGGCCCUCCGGGUCGUAAACCGCUUUUAGACGGGGAUAAAAGGGCGUACGUGUACGCCGUAUUGCAUGUACCGUCAGAAAAAGGACCGGCUAAUUCCGUGCCAGCAGCCGCGGUAAUACGGAAGGUCCGGGCGUUAUCCGGGUUUAUUGGGUUUAAAGGGAGCGUAGGCGGACUUUCAAGUCAGUGGUAAAAUCGUGUGGCUCAACCAUACCUCGCCAUUGAAACUGGAAGUCUGGAGUGCACACAGGGGUGCCGGAAUUCAUGGUGUAGCGGUGAAAUGCUUAGAUAUCAUGAAGAACUCCGAUCGCGAAGGCAAGUGCCCGGGGUGCAACUGACGCUGAGGCUCGAAGGUGCGGGUAUCGAACAGGAUUAGAUACC